GGUUUUUACAAUUAUCCAUAAACUUUUUAUAGUUUCAGAAUUGUUGAGCUUUUUAACCACAUAAUGAAUUGUUUUUGUGAUUGAUUGUUACUUGAGUCUAUUGUUAGGGGGUCAUAAAUAUAUAUCCACUUUGAAACAAAAUCUUAUUUAGUAAGAUUCCAAGAUAUUUAGACAAAUGCUACGAAUCUUUUCGAUGUCUUUAAUCAUGAGGUUUCAAAACUUCAACAAAUAGGAGCUCUUUUGCAUACUUCUUCCGGGGUUUGGGUGGCUUAUCACCACCAGAGGUAGGCCUUGGACGUUUCUGCCCAGUUACAUCACUUUCAACUUCUUCUGUCGUCUGAGGUUGAACAGGAGGUUCAGUAUCUUUUCCGACGUUCACGUUCUCCUCUUCUGGCAUCUACAGAAUACAUAAACAAAGUAUAAACAAAAGAGGUUCAGUCAUACAAUCUAUAAUCAAUGACUUUCAAGUAUAACAAAGGUCGAACCCUAAAUUUCUGGAUGAACAAUGGAAUCCAAAACCCUAACAUUCUCACAAUCGAAGAUUUGAGUAACAUUAGGGUUUUGAAUCCCAAUUAAUCAUCCAGAUAUUAGCAAAUCGACAUUAGCUUAUUAGCUACCAAGAAGAAUGAAGAGCUAACCUCUAACACUUUCUCGGUUACGGGUUGAAUUUCGGAGAAAUGGGAGUAGAAUCACGAGGGUAUGAAGAUGUAGAAGUGUAGAAGAUGAUGAAUUGAUGAAGCUAGGAAGAUGAGAUGAUGUUUAGAUCAGAGAAUAAGGAUGAAAACUGAUGAGAUUAGGGUUUAGGAUUCCACUCUCUGUUUUGCAUGCGGCAAAGGCGAAGAAGAAGAGAAA
rnacentral:lncRNA from 1 species